GUCCACGCUGUAAACGAUGGGCACUAGGCGUCGGGGGGAGCGACCCUCCCGGUGCCGUCGCUAACGCAAUAAGUGCCCCGCCUGGGGAGUACGGCCGCAAGGUUGAAACUCAAAGGAAUUGACGGGGGCCCGCACAAGCGGUGGAGCAUGUGGUUUAAUUCGAUGCAACGCGAAGAACCUUACCUGGGCUUGACAUGCACGUGAAAGCCGGUGGAAACACCGGUUCUCCUUCGGGACGCGUGCACAGGUGCUGCAUGGCUGUCGU
rnacentral:rRNA from 1 species